CUGGCUCCUGGUCACUGAGUCGCCAAGUCCCAGUGGCUUUCAGCCUGUUGCUGAUCAGGUGCUCAGCUGUGCAGUUCAGCCACCAGGAAUGCUGCCCUAACUGCUGCUCUUCUCCAUCCCAGGAGCCACAGGAACCCUUCAGUGAUUACAAGACAUUCUGAGGCACCUACUUUUCCCACAAAUGGCAUUUGCAAAACUUCACUGUGGGGAUGAUGCUGCUGUUUUUGCAGUCAAAAGCUAUAGAAACGUGAAUCAGGAGUCCCAUGAAAAUGCCUGUAAUUGCAAGAUGAAAAAUGUUUGA
rnacentral:lncRNA from 1 species